UCCCCCAAAGCUAUCCGAGCACCGACACGCCCACAGCGCUACCUGACGGGGACCCGCCGGCGGGCAGCCGCGCCGCGAUCCCCGCCCAUCCCUUCCCCAACUGCCCUCUGAACCCCUGCAACCUCUGGAGCUCCGCGACCGCAGGCCGCCAUCCCUGAAUUAUUGGGGGGGCCUUCUGAGCCGCCGGAACCGUUCGGUCUGUGCAGGUGAAAAGCUCCGAUCUUUCUUGCUAUGAAAUGUUAAUUAGCCUCGUGAUAUUGGGAAAUAUGUUGUAUAUUGUGUGUUGAGUAGGAAUCGGGAGACAAAGCGACCUGAUCUGUAGAACAAAGCGCCAAACUCUCUCUUUUUUAGGCUAAAGGAAUGGGGCCAGAUUCGAUCCCAUGACUUUGUCAGUCUGAUUGGAAUGGCACCGUAUCCUGCGUUGGUUCGUCGAAAUAAAAGUGUUGUUAUACCGUAGAAAAUGCAGAGUAAUGAUUAGUAUGGAAUCAUUUCUUCAAUCAUUGUUUCACAUGCUGAGGAGGAAUUUAUAAUAAGCCCCGCACAUAGAUUGGGUAUCUCUACAGGCACAUUGCACGUGGUGUGUGUCUUUUAUUUGCCCUGCUAAUGCGUAUUAGCGGUUAAUUUCAGCUCUGGUUUUGAUGUCAACGAGCAAGGUUGCGUGUGUGGAAACAGGGGAGAGAAUUGUCAACCAUAACUAGUGCAUGUCAUGAAGGAGUCCACUGUCUACAAGACAGUAUGGUAGAAUUGGCAGUCAAUUUCGGCCUCAGAGCUGAAUUCCGCACACAUUUGUUGCAUCAGGCUGAUAACCAGCAAAUUCAGGAAGAAAUGGCUAUUUUAAUUUCUUACUGUUUUGCUACCGUAGAGUUUAUAGCACUAUAAUCAAUAUAUAUUCUUGCCUUUGUUGUAUUUUGUGUGCUUGUAGCCUUCUAUGUUUGUGAAGUUGAGACUGAGUAUCACGCCCUUUCUUUGUCCAGGUCCUGAUUUGAAUGUCGGAAUGAGAGAAUUCCAGUUUCAGUUUCUUUAACAGUAAUGGCUACAUUAUUUUAACUCAUCCAAGCAAUUUAGGUGCAUGGUCAUUCAGCUUUUAGAGAAUGAAUUUCUGAUUAUCUUACUUUUGUCUUCAGUUUUUCUGCAAUUGGAUCAGCAGCUCCAUCUUGAGUAUUGAUUGAUGACGACAUCAGUAAAUAAAAGUGUCAUUAAUGAUACUGAGAUUCUGUUUCAUCUAGUUGCAGUAGUUGUGUGUUUCCGACCAUUUGGUUCAAAGUCUCUUUGGACUAACCCCUUUUUUUCCUUGGGUUGUCGGUUCUUGGGUUAUUCUUUCAAACUGACCUUUUGGUGCUGUCAAUGUCGUUUUGGCUUUUCUGACUGAUUUUUGUCUUAUUGUGUACCUUAUUGGUUUUCUACUAGCAAAGGCUUAAAAUAUUUGUAAACUCUGUAACUUUGCUGCUUUUUUCUCAUUGUAAUGACAAACAGGAUUACAGGCAGUUGCUUUAUGACUUCUGUAUUCUGAAUGUUCAGACUUCUGUCAUUAGUUUGAGUCAGUCAGUCACUACAAUAGUUUUUGAUAGCUGUACAGUUCUUCAGUCUCCCAGGGCCUUUUAGGUUGCAACUUAUUUCAUGUAUUAACGUAUUGACCCAUGGAGUGGAGUGGAGUAAAUCAUUACUGGGAUGCUUAAAUGGCAUAGAAUUCGUAAAAGAUACCUUUCAGUGCUUUCAGUUGGAUGACAGAUACUCAUUGCCUGUAAAUGGUGCUCCUUUGAUGUCUGUUUGGUACUGUUGAUAGGCAUUGGCAUCGUUUAUCAUUUCCAGUCUUUUUCUUUCUAGUUUCUGCUAGACCGUGCAUCAUGCAAUGUGAUAUAUUGAGCACUAAGUUUUGUUAGGUGCCGGCAAUGUAUCAAACUUUCAGUGACAGAGAACCGUGAAACCUUUCCUUUUCUCAGGUAGGAAACCAGAACUGUUCAAGCAUGUAUUUAUCAGCAAAUUUUUCUCCCAACAACAUUUAUCCUGAUAAAUGAAAUUUGGAGAGGUUGUGCUACUGUUCAUCCACUAGGAACAGUCUGACAGGCCGUCUUACCGAAAAUUUGAAAGGAAGGAAUUAGCAACAGGGGAAAAAACCUUUCAGCAUAAUGGAACUAUUUCUUAUUUUUCUGAACCUCGCAUGCAGGACCCUAUCCUGUCAAUGUUGUCAUUUCCUUUACACACAGUCCAUUCCUAUUAGACCUGCUUGUCACGAACAUGCCAGCAAUAAUCAUACCAUGGAUUUCAUGUAUCUACUGGUUCCUAAGAUACCUUGGGUAGCUUAGUUUACCUACCUUUUCUUUGCUGAAAAGGUUACUGGCAUUUAUUUCUCAGAAGAAAAAUUGAUUUAGAGCAGAGCGAUUUAUGUCGGAUCAUAAUUGGUUUAACAACUAGGUUAGUCAUUUCAUUAUUGCUUUUGGUGAUCUUAAGUAUCAUCUUCGUACAUGGGGAGGAAAUAUGAAAGUAACCCUGCGUAAAUUUUUACUUUUAGUGGCCUAUUUAUAUGUAGAUAAUUGAAAAACAACCUAACAAGAAUCAUAAGAGACUAGUUGAUGAAAAGUUUUUCGCAAAUUAUGUCAUCCCCCUUAACUCGAAUGAAACUCUUGCAAAUGAGGUUGUCGUACAGAAACUGAUCUGAAACUAGUUUGUGCGAGGCUGCAUGGAGUAGUAUUUAAAUCCUAGUAGUGUUGUUUAGUUUUGAAAACCCUGUACAGAACCGUCUUCAAUUUUUUUUGAGGAUGCACCACCAUUUACAUCUGUGUAUUUUUUUUCUUCUGUUAUUUUGCAUGUCCUUUCCUUCCGUUUCUGAAAUGUUCUAAGCAGCAGUGUAUUUGGUUGAUUAAAUUUGCAGUGUAGUUGCUCGUUUUCCUUUUUGUUUUUUUUGACUAAACAGGAGGGGAGGCUCGGUGCAGUUGCUGAUCUCAAGGUAGCACAGCAAUUCCUUGAAAAGAAAAGCAGGAGUCUACUUAUCAGGGAGAUGCAACAGUUUUUCUUCGCAUUAUAGCAGCUGCAAGCCUCAACCAAUGGUGUUUCUUUUCGCAUAAAAGGUGAUCAACUUGUAAUUGCCUCUAAAUUUUUGUUAUAUCUUGCUUUCAUGUCCUUGCUAUUCUAAGUUGCAGGAUCGGAAUGUUUUCUGCCUUAAAUUAACGCCGAACCACAUUGUACCAUCUGUCGGUGUGAGAUCCUGGGUGCAAAUGCACCUUGAUACCCUCCGAUGGCGGCUUAAGUACCAAUUCUGUUCAUGUUUUAGUGGUGGUUGGACAUGCUUAAAGGCACCUCCAAGUGUGUCACCUGUUCAUCUCGCUGUCAGACCUUAUUCUGCAUGCCCAAGCCUGCCUUUCCCUCUCUGACGUGUCACUGUUGCAGAUACUCUGCACUCCGGUUCAUUAUGCCUGCAUGCCCCCGGCUGGUGCCUUGACUUGUUAGUAAUAGCUUGCACCUCCCUUUCCGGUGAUGCUGACCUCCUACUGCCCCUUUGCACUCCCUUUCCAUCCCUUUCCAUGACGCUGACCUGCUACUGGAACACUAUCAGAUGCUCCUUCAAGGCACUUCUUGUGUGCCACAUUGCAACAUCGUUAGGUCAGCUCGAGCAUAAUUUUAUCGUGCACUUGCUGCGGUUUCCUUGUUGUCUAUGUGUUGUUUCUCUCCGUUUUUUCACACAUUAGGCUGUAUGGGUCGUGUUCCUCUGUUUUUUCUGGUCUAAAAGUUAGUCACCCUAUAUGAGGCCAGACUCCAGGACAAAGGUCUGAAACUCCCGUGAUAAUAAACUAGGGAAUUGGAGUUGUUGCAUCUCCAAACAAAUAGGGCCUGUUGGAUAGGUGCGGACUGGAGCCAAUCCCUUGGGAUUGGCGAGGAGAAUGUACUAAUUUCCCUGCCAAUCAGAGGAGAACUGGUCUAACCGCAGUGUAUCCAAACAAGCUUUCAGCGUCAGCAACUGCUGUACAAUAUCAUGGAACUGUUUGUUCCAUCUUGUCAAAGGUAAUAAGUUACUGUACAUUAUGGUUUUGUAGCUUGUUCUUGUUGGUUUAACUGUCUUAUUAGCGACAACCAUCCUGAACGGCUUAGUCUUUUCCUUCCAGAUAUCUUCUACCAACUUCUUUUUCUCUAUUAUUAUUAUUAUUAUUAUUUUUAUUUCACUUGAUUUCUCCAGAGAUUGCAAUUUUUUAUGUAUGCAGGGAAAACAUUUUGUUCUUGUAACAUUGCUUAUCAGUAUAUGGUUAUCAUGAUUUUCUAAGGGAAUGCUUGUAAUAAUGUGGAACAAUUUCAGCAGAUUCACAAAUUUAGCCAUGGAGUCAAUUUUUUAAACUUCCAUAGAUUCAUGUCAAAAUACAUAAAACAUAACAAGUAAGGAUGUGUUUUUUUAAAAAAGAAACUUCAGUGUUUACAGCAUCAUAAGUUGAAACUUUUGUCAUAUUAUACUAUAAAAAGCACUAGUUGUGUGGAAAUACUUGAUUAAUCUCCACUGUCAAUUGUAUUUAUAAUUGGUCCCCUCCUACCAUCAAAGAUUUAAAUAGUGCUCCACCCUCAACAAAUUAUGAUCCCAUAUCUCCUCUUAAAACUAAGGAGCUGCUCUGCUCUGUAGGUUACACAAUCAACUUGGAAGCAAAUAGUUUAGGCGCAUUGUUUCUUCACUACAGUAGUGCAAACUUUUGUCAACUUUGUGGUGGUUAACUGUUAUAUUGUGUUAAACAUGUAACUUUAUGAUGUCAAGGUAAUAUGAUGUUUUAUAUCCAUUCGAUUAGUUACUAAAUAAGAUUGGAAAGAUGUAGGGAUUCCAUGACGAUUGUGAAGAGGAUAUCCUCGCUGUUUUCUUACAGGACACAUCCUAGGGUUAGUUAAAUCAGAAAUAUUUUGUGCUUGUUCUGAUGUUAGGGGAUUUGAACCAAGUUACUAGAUUUUCCAAAUAUUUAGGGCUGUCCUAUAUCCAGAGUAACUCAUGCAACCCCCCUUGUAAAACUGCCUGAAUGUUUCCAUUGUGAAAUGGAAAUGGAGUUAAGCCUGGUUCGGAAAAGAAAAGCAAUACCCCGGUACCUCCAACUGGGAGUAGGACAUAUCUCGCAGGCCCAAAAUCUAAUCUGCUGAUGAAAGGGGGACAACACAUUUAUACAGCGCAAUUAUAAUUCUGCUGAAAUUUCGUGGAACGAUAGCAAUUGGAAAUCCAUCUAUUAAGAUCUAGCUAGAUAUUGCGUCGCCGAUCGACCAAACGCCACUUGGAUGAGAGCAUCAUCGCCUUCACCUAACAAGGAAGCAACAGCAACACCGAUGUAUGAUGAUCAGAAGUAGUAGAUAUGCAGAAUUAGAGCUAGCUCCAACCAAAAGCGGCAGUUGAUAGAGAAGAAUCAGUCGGAAGGGGUCCAUGAGUGUACUUUUCUAGCUCCAGAGAAUACCCCUCUCUCAAAAUGUGAGGCCUGUGACGUUUCUAGAUGGAUGGCGCCUAAUUCUGAGGCAUCAUGUGAUGGCAAGGCUGAUAUGCAAAGUACAAAAUGUGUAAUGCACAUGAGGCCGGCCGGAGAAAGUGAUGUAUACGUGAUUGGGAUGUGUGUGGAAAGCUCCCCAUCUCCAUAAACUUAAUUAGCUACAUUGUUCAA